rnacentral:rRNA from 1 species
UACGAAGGGGGCUAGCGUUGCUCGGAUUUACUGGGCGUAAAGGGCGCGUAGGCGGACAGUUUAGUCAGAGGUGAAAGCCCAGGCUCAACCUUGGAAUUGCCUUUGAUACUGGCUGUCUUGAGUACGGGAGAGGUGAGUGGAACUCCGAGUGUAGAGGUGAAAUUCGUAGAUAUUCGGAAGAACACCAGUGGCGAAGGCGACUCACUGGCCCGUUACUGACGCUGAGGCGCGAAAGCGUGGGGAGCAAACAGG